GUGGGGAAUAUUGGACAAUGGGCGCAAGCCUGAUCCAGCAAUGCCGCGUGGGUGAAGAAGGUCUUCGGAUCGUAAAGCCCUUUCGACAGGGACGAUGAUGACGGUACCUGUAGAAGAAGCCCCGGCUAACUUCGUGCCAGCAGCCGCGGUAAUACGAAGGGGGCUAGAGUUACUCGGAAUUACUGGGCGUAAAGGGCGCGUAGGCGGCUCUGUUAGUCAGGCGUGAAAUUCCUGGGCUUAACCUGGGGACUGCGCUUGAUACUGCAGGGCUUGAGGCCGAGAGAGGGUGGUGGAAUUCCCAGUGUAGAGGUGAAAUUCGUAGAUAUUGGGAAGAACACCGGUGGCGAAGGCGACCACCUGGCUCGGUUCUGACGCUGAGGCGCGACAGCGUGGGGAGCAAACAGGAUUAGAAACCCUGGUAGUCC
rnacentral:rRNA from 1 species